AUCUUCUCCCUUACCUCAUCUAUUACAACAAACAAAACAAAAAACCCUACAUUCGCCUCCCUCACUCUUUCAGUCUCAUCUCAAAACUCAUCACUGUCUCUCUCUCUCUCACUCUUUCGUUUCGUUAUUCUGCUGCGCCGAUCACUCUCUCUCACUCUCUCGUUGUUCAUCUCAUCGCACCGCCGAUCUACUCAUAGGUAAACUCUCUCUCUCUCAAUCUCUCUCUCUCUCGCCCCGAUCGUUGAUUUUUUUUUGUUUUAUAUAUAUAUAUAUAUAUAUAUAUCAGAUAUCAUACAUAUCUCUCUGAUCUGAUCAGAUCCACAGUUUGGUUUUGCAUCUCUGCACCGAUCGACUCACAGUUCAUAAAUCUGAGUCUUUUCACCACGAGCAGGAUUCAGUUCUGUGGUCAGAAAAACUGAGACCUUGUGCUGAAGCUCUAUAUAUUGUUUUGUUUGAAAAUCAUAGUCAGCUGCUAGGUCCAGUUGUGGUUUCCAUUCUUCAAGAGGCAAUGAAUGGUUGCCCGACUUCAGUCAUUGAAAUCACUCCAGGAUUACUUCUCAAAGAUGCUACUUAUGGUGCUGCUGCCUAUGUUUAUUACGA